rnacentral:rRNA from 1 species
GCGUAAAGGGUGGUAGGUUGUAGGGUUUAUGUUAUAAUUGAAAGACUGGUCAAAAAGCUUUGCUGAAGGUUAUUUUAAACGCUACUAGAGUUUUGGUAGGGGUUAGGAGGGACUUGCCAGGGAGACGUGAAAUGUGUAGAUCUGCCGGGGACGUCAUUGCGAAAGCAUCACCCAUUCUUUAACUGACAUGAGGCACGAAGGUAUGAGUAUCGAGCUGGAUUAGAGACCCAAGUAGUUCAUACGGUAAACGCUGAUGGUUAAAGUUAGUGAUCCAAAAACUUAUAUUUUUGUAUAAGUAAGAGCUUAAAAAACGAAGCUCGUAGAUUUGAUGAUUGUGGCUUUCUAGCUAACGCGCUAAACCAUCCGCCUGAGUUGUAGGCCGCAAGGCUAAAACCCAAAGGAAUUGACGGCAACUUGUACAAGG